UAAUAACUGAGGGAUGCUGGAACAA
rnacentral:piRNA from 1 species